AGAGUUUGAUCCUGGCUCAGGACGAACGCUGGCGGCGUGCCUAACACAUGCAAGUGGAGCGACGAACCGGGCUUCGGCCCGGGGCAGAGCCGCGAACGGGUGAGUAACACGUGGGUAACGUGCCCCGAUGAUUGGGACAACCCGAGGAAACUCGGGCUAAUACCAAAUGUGCCCUGUGGCCAUAAGGCCUAUGGGGAAAGGAAGCUUCGGCCUCCGCAUCGGGAUCGGCCCGCGGCCCAUUAGCUAGUUGGUGAGGUAAAGGCUCACCAAGGCUUCGAUGGGUAGCUGGUCUGAGAGGACGAUCAGCCACACUGGGACUGAGACACGGCCCAGACUCCUACGGGAGGCAGCAGUGGGGAAUCUUGCGCAAUGCGCGAAAGCGUGACGCAGCAACGCCGCGUGGGUGAAGACGGCCUUCGGGUUGUAAACCCCUUUCAGCAGGGACGAAGCGAGAGUGACGGUACCUGCAGAAGAAGCGCCGGCUAACUACGUGCCAGCAGCCGCGGUAACACGUAGGGCGCAAGCGUUGUCCGGAAUUAUUGGGCGUAAAGAGCUCGUAGGUGGUCUGCUGCGUCCGCUGUGAAAACUCAGGGCUUAACCCUGAGCUUGCAGUGGAUACGGGCAGACUAGAGGUAGGUAGGGGAGAAUGGAAUUCCCGGUGUAGCGGUGAAAUGCGCAGAUAUCGGGAGGAACACCGGUGGCGAAGGCGGUUCUCUGGGCCUUACCUGACACUGAGGAGCGAAAGCGUGGGGAGCGAACAGGAUUAGAUACCCUGGUAGUCCACGCCGUAAACGUUGGGCGCUAGGUGUGGGGUCCUUCCACGGAUUCCGUGCCGCAGCUAACGCAUUAAGCGCCCCGCCUGGGGAGUACGGCCGCAAGGCUAAAACUCAAAGGAAUUGACGG
rnacentral:rRNA from 1 species